AGUGAACGCUGGCGGCAGGCCUAACACAUGCAAGUCGAACGAGUGGCGGACGGGUGAGGAAUAUAUCGGAAUCUACUCUGUCGUGGGGGAUAACGUCUGGAAACUUUCUCUAAUACCGCAUACCAUCGAAUGAGCCGAUGUGGGAUUAGCUAGUGGGCGGGGUAAAGGCCCACCAAGGCGACGAUCCCUAGCUGGUCUGAGAGGAUGAACAGCCACACUGGAACUGAGACACGGUCCAGACUCCUACGGGAGGCAGCAGUGGGGAAUAUUGGACAAUGGGCGCAAGCCUGAUGCAGCCAUGCCGCGUGGGUGAAGAAGGCCUUCGGGUUGUAAAGCACUUUUGUUGGGGAGGCGGUACCCAAAGAAGAAGCACCGGCUAACUCCGUGCCAGCAGCCGCGGUAAUAC
rnacentral:rRNA from 1 species